CACGCAGUAAACGAUGAUAACUCGUUAUCGGCGAUAUAAAGUCGGUGACCCAGCGAAAGCGAUAAGUUAUCCACCUGGGGAGUACGAUCGCAAGGUUGAAACUCAAAGGAAUUGACGGGGGCCCGCACAAGCGGAGGAGCAUGUGGUUUAAUUNGAUGAUACGCGAGGAACCUUACCCGGGUUUGAACGUUUCAGGGAUUAUGCAGAGAUGUGUAAGCUUUUCGGAGCCUGAAGCGAGGUGCUGCAUGGUUGUCGUCAGCUCGUGCCGUGAGGUGUCAGGUUAAGUCCUAUAACGAGCGCAACCCUUACGUAUAGUUACCAUCAUUCAGUUGGGGACUCUAUACGGACUGCCGGCGUAAGCUGUGAGGAAGGAGGGGAUGACGUCAAAUCAGCACGGCCCUUAUGUCCGGGGCGACACACGUGCUACAAUGGUCAUUACAGAGGGCAGCUACACAGAGAUGUGAUGCGAAUCUCNAAAGAUGGUCACANUUCNGAUCGGAGUCUGCAACUCGACUCCGUGAAGUUGGAUUCGCUAGUAAUNGCAGAUCAACCAUGCUGCGGUGAAUAC
rnacentral:rRNA from 1 species